CAUGCAAGUCGAACGAUGAUCCNNNNGCUUGCNNNGGGGAUUAGUGGCGAACGGGUGAGUAACACGUGAGUAACCUGCCCUUAACUCUGGGAUAAGCCUGGGAAACUGGGUCUAAUACCGGAUAUGACUCCUCAUCGCAUGGUGGGGGGUGGAAAGCUUUAUUGUGGUUUUGGAUGGACUCGCGGCCUAUCAGCUUGUUGGUGAGGUAAUGGCUCACCAAGGCGACGACGGGUAGCCGGCCUGAGAGGGUGACCGGCCACACUGGGACUGAGACACGGCCCAGACUCCUACGGGAGGCAGCAGUGGGGAAUAUUGCACAAUGGGCGCAAGCCUGAUGCAGCGACGCCGCGUGAGGGAUGACGGCCUUCGGGUUGUAAACCUCUUUCAGUAGGGAAGAAGCGAAAGUGACGGUACCUGCAGAAGAAGCGCCGGCUAACUACGUGCCAGCAGCCGCGGUAAUACGUAGGGCGCAAGCGUUAUCCGGAAUUAUUGGGCGUAAAGAGCUCGUAGGCGGUUUGUCGCGUCUGCCGUGAAAGUCCGGGGCUCAACUCCGGAUCUGCGGUGGGUACGGGCAGACUAGAGUGAUGUAGGGGAGACUGGAAUUCCUGGUGUAGCGGUGAAAUGCGCAGAUAUCAGGAGGAACACCGAUGGCGAAGGCAGGUCUCUGGGCAUUAACUGACGCUGAGGAGCGAAAGCAUGGGGAGCGAACAGGAUUAGAUACCCUGGUAGUCCAUGCCGUAAACGUUGGGCACUAGGUGUGGGGGACAUUCCACGUUUUCCGCGCCGUAGC
rnacentral:rRNA from 1 species